GAUGAACGCUGGCGGCGUGCCUAAUACACGCAAGUCGAGCGAAUGGAUUAAGAGCUUGCUCUUAUGAAGUUAGCGGCGGACGGGUGAGUAACACGUGGAUAACCUGCCCAUAAGACUGGGAUAACUCCGGGAAACCGGGGCUAAUACCGGAUAACAUUUUGAACCGCAUGGUUCGAAAUUGAAAGGCGGCUUCGGCUGUCACUUAUGGAUGGACCCGCGUCGCAUUAGCUAGUUGGUGAGGUAACGGCUCACCAAGGCAACGAUGCGUAGCCGACCUGAGGAGGUGCACGGCCACACUUGGACUGAGACACGGCUCAGACUCCUACGGGAGGCAGCAGUAGGGAAUCUUCCGCAAUGGACGAAAGUCUGACGGAGCAACGCCGCGUGAGUGAUGAAGGCUUUCGGGUCGUAAAACUCUGUUGUUAGGGAAGAACAAGUGCUAGUUGAAUAAGCUGGCACCUUGACGGUACCUAACCAGAAAGCCACGGCUAACUACGUGCCAGCCGCCGCAGUAA
rnacentral:rRNA from 1 species